rnacentral:rRNA from 1 species
CGCGUAGGUGGAUAAACAAGUCAGAGGUGAAAUUUUGAGGCUUAACCUCAAAGCGGUCUUUGAAACUGUUAAUCUAGAGGAGAUACGGGGAAAAUAGGAUUUCACAUGUAGCGGUGAAAUGCGUAGAUAUGUGAAGGAAUACCGGUGGCGAAAGCGGUUUUCCAGUAUUUACCUAACGCUAAGGCGCGAAAGCAAGGGUAGCAAACA